rnacentral:rRNA from 1 species
UGCAGAAUCUCGUGAACCAUCGAGUCUUUGAACGCAAGUUGCGCCCGAAGCCAUUAGGUUGAGGGCACGCCUGCCUGGGCGUCACACAUCGCGUCGCCCCCUCUAAAUCCAAUUUUGAAGGGGUGGAUAUUGGUCUCCCGUGCAUCAUUGUGUGCGCGGCUGGCCCAAAAAAGAUCCCUUAUUGACGGUUGUCAUGACUAGUGGUGGUUGAAAACUCAAUCGUGCUGUCGUGCCUUACAUCGUUGUUUAUAGGGGCAUCAAAAUGACCCAAUGGUACAAAUAGUGCCUUCGACCGCGACCCCAGGUCAGGCGGGACCACCCGCUGAGUUUAAGCAUAUCAAUAAGCGGAGGAAAAGAAACUUACAAGAAUUCCCCUAGUAACGGCGAGCGAACCGGGAAAAGCCCAACUUGAGAAUCGGGCGGCCAUGCUGUCCGA